UGGGGAAUAUUGCACAAUGGAGGGAACUCUGAUGCAGCAACGCCGCGUGCGGGAUGACGGCCUUCGGGUUGUAAACCGCUUUCAGCCAUGACGAAGCUUUUGUGACGGUAGUGGUAGAAGAAGCACCGGCUAACUACGUGCCAGCAGCCGCGGUGAUACGUAGGGUGCGAGCGUUGUCCGGAAUUAUUGGGCGUAAAGAGCUUGUAGGCGGUUUGUCGCGUCGAAAGUGUAAACUCAGUGCUUAACGCUGAGCCUGCUUUCGAUACGGGCUGACUAGAGGAGGGUAGGGGAGAAUGGAAUUCCCGGUGUAGCGGUGGAAUGCGCAGAUAUCGGGAGGAACACCAGUGGCGAAGGCGGUUCUCUGGACCUUUCCUGACGCUGAGAAGCGAAAGCGUGGGUAGCAAACAGG
rnacentral:rRNA from 1 species